UAAAAUGCAUUAUUUUCAAAGUAGUUCAAAAUAAGUCAGUGCGUUUUUAUAACUGGCUAAAUUGCAGCUGCUUUUGUUGCACUGUGAAGAAAAUAAACGGUUGGUAACCUGACCUCAGCUCAGCUGUUGUGAAUGCUCAGCUGCGUGUAUGUUGCAGAUUUCGCCUGAAGGCUUCACCAAAGUAAAAGUGAAAGUAGACGGCGCUGGCAUGCUGGCUAACCGUUUUGUCUCUUUGUUCAGUCCAUCUGAGGAUUACCUUUUUGUUGAUGGAUUUUCACAACAUAACCUCCACACGGAAUAUUAUGACAGCUGCAUGAUUUAACGAUUACAAUCUGCAAAGUAUCAGAAGCAAUCCCAGUGUCCUCAACCUCUACAUCUACAGCAGAAAAAGGAAGAAGAAAGCGUGAUUACCAACUGUCUGGAAAGGAACUUUGUCUGCAACUAAGGUGGAGAAAGACUGUGGGAAAUGUGCAAAUAUGUUUUCCACAACAAAUAUUGACAUGCUGUUAAAAUGAGGUCUAAAGUCAGCAUUUAUACAUUUGUUUUUUAUUGAUUUGUCCAACUUGUUCGAUCUGAGUUUACCAACCUCAGGACAUGAGCUCAUAAACUUUCAAUAAAUCUUUGCAAAAUCAACUAGCCAUAUAGGUCUGUAAUAAAGCUGCUUGUUUGAGUUUGUUUUCUGCAUCUGGUAUGUCUGAGUGAAUUUACGUUAAGUAAAUUACACGUUAGGUGACUAAUAUAACUUGGAAUGAAAAGCCCUAAUAAAAAAUACCUAAACUUGCAA